GGCUGGUUUGAGUGCAGCAGUGCUUACAACUAAUUGAUCACAACCAGUUACAGACUUUUUUGCUCUUUCUCCACUCCCACUGCUUCAUUUGACUAGCUUCAA
rnacentral:Y_RNA from 1 species